GAGUUUGAUCGUGGCUCAGGAUGAACGCCGGCGGUGUGCCUAAUACAUGCAAGUCGUACGCACUGGCCCAACUGAUUGCUGGUGCUUGCACCUGAUUGACGAUGGAUCACAAGUGAGUGGCGGACGGGUGAGUAACACGUAGGCAACCUGCCCCGGAGCGAGGGAUAACCUUUGGAAACAGAUGCUAAUACCGCACAACAACAAAAGUCACAUGGCUUUUGUUUGAAAGAUGGCUUUGGCUAUCACUCUGGGAUGGGCCUGCGGUGCAUUAUCUAGUUGGUAAGGUAACGGCUUACCAAGGCGAUGAUGCAUAGCCGAGUUGAGAGACUGAUCGGCCACAAUGGAACUGAGACACGGUCCAUACUCCUACGGGAGGCAGCA
rnacentral:rRNA from 1 species